GCCGUUGUGGUGAAAUUGGUAAACACAGAGCUUUCAAAAAGCUCCGACCUUGCGUCUUAUCGGUUCAAAUCCGAUCAUCGGCA
rnacentral:tRNA from 2 species